UACGUAGGGGGCAAGCGUUGUCCGGAUUUAUUGGGCGUAAAGAGCGUGUAGGCGGCUAGGUAGGUCCGUUGUGAAAACUCGAGGCUCAACCUCGAGCUGUCGAUGGAAACCAUCUGGCUAGAGUCCGGAAGAGGCGAGUGGAAUUCCUGGUGUAGCGGUGGAAUGCGCAGAUAUCAGGAGGAACACCAAUAGCGAAGGCAGCUCGCUGGGACGGUACUGACGCUGAGGCGCGAAAGCGUGGGGAGCGAACAGG
rnacentral:rRNA from 1 species